rnacentral:ncRNA from 2 species
UACGGCACCUCGGGGUGUCCCUGUUUUGGGGCUGAGAUGCGGGCGAAGGCCUGUCGAACCCGUUGAACCUGAACCGGCUCAUACCGGCGGAGGGAAUGGUCAAGGCACGCGGU